GGUGAGAUGGCUCAGUGGGUAAGAGCACCUGACUGUUCUUCCGGAGGUCGAGAGUUCAAAUCCCAGCAACCA
rnacentral:tRNA from 1 species